rnacentral:rRNA from 1 species
AACGUAGGUACCGAGCGUUAUCCGGAUUUACUGGGCGUAAAGCGCGUUCAGGCGGUUUGGCAAGUCGGGCAUGAAAUCUCUCGGCUCAACCGGGAGAGGUUGUCCGAUACUUCCAGACUUGAGGGCAGUAGAGGGUGGUGGAAUUCCGGGUGUAGUGGUGAAAUGCGUAGAUAUCCGGAGGAACACCAGUGGCGAAAGCGGCCACCUGGACUGCACCUGACGCUGACACGCGAAAGCUAGGGGAGCAAACGGG